GACGAACGCUGGCGGCGUGCUUAACACAUGCAAGUCGAACGGAAAGACCCUGCUUUUGUGGGGUGCUCGAGUGGCGAACGGGUGAGUAACACGUGAGUAACCUGCCCUUGACUUUGGGAUAACUUCAGGAAACUGGGGCUAAUACCGGAUAGGAGCUCCUGCUGCAUGGUGGGGGUUGGAAAGUUUCGGCGGUUGGGGAUGGACUCGCGGCUUAUCAGCUUGUUGGUGGGGUAGUGGCUUACCAAGGCUUUGACGGGUAGCCGGCCUGAGAGGGUGACCGGCCACAUUGGGACUGAGAUACGGCCCAGACUCCUACGGGAGGCAGCAGUGGGGAAUAUUGCACAAUGGGCGGAAGCCUGAUGCAUCAACGCCGCGUGCGGGAUGACGGCCUUCGGGUUGUAAACCGCUUUCGCCUGUGACGAAGCGUGAGUGACGGUAAUGGGUAAAGAAGCACCGGCUAACUACGUG
rnacentral:rRNA from 1 species